rnacentral:rRNA from 1 species
AUUGAAUGCUGGCGGCAUGCUUUACACAUGCAAGUCGGACGGUAACAGGCCGCAAGGUGCUGACGAGUGGCGAACGGGUGAGUAAUGCAUCGGAACGUGCCCAGUCGUGGGGGAUAACGCAGCGAAAGCUGCGCUAAUACCGCAUACGAUCUCUGGAUGAAAGCGGGGGACCGAAAGGCCUCGCGCGAUUGGAGCGGCCGAUGUCAGAUUAGGUAGUUGGUGGGGUAAAGGCCCACCAAGCCAACGAUCUGUAGCUGGUCUGAGAGGACGACCAGCGACACUGGGACUGAGACACGGCCCAGACUCCUACGGGAGGCAGCAGUGGGGAAUUUUGGACAAUGGGCGCAAGCCUGAUCCAGCAAUGCCGCGUGCAGGAAGAAGGCCUUCGGGUUGUAAACUGCUUUUGUACGGAACGAAACGGUCCGGGUUAAUACCCUGGGCUAAUGACGGUACCGUAAGAAUAAGCACCGGCUAACUACGUGCCAGCAGCCGCGGUAA